rnacentral:tRNA from 2 species
GCGCCCGUAGCUCAGUGGAUAGAGCAACCGCCUUCUAAGCGGUUGGUCGGACGUUCGAAUCGUCUCGGGCGCG